ACCUCCUGGCAAUGAGCAAAGAGACACUGUUGGUGGCAUUGUUCUUAUAGCGAUCAUGGGCAGAGCAGAUGGCAGUCCUUUGUUCAUCCUAGCUUGAUGCCUGGCUUGGUGGCCAAAGCUGUUUUAUGUCUAGGAUACACAA